rnacentral:rRNA from 1 species
UACGAAGGGGGGCUAGCGUUGCUCGGAAUUACUGGGCGUAAAGGGCGCGUAGGCGGGUCGUUAAGUUGGGGGUGAAAGCCCAGGGCUCAACCCUGGAAUUGCCUUCAAUACUGGCGACCUUGAGUAUGGCAGAGGUGUGUGGAACUCCGAGUGUAGAGGUGAAAUUCGUAGAUAUUCGGAAGAACACCAGUGGCGAAGGCGACACACUGGGCCAUUACUGACGCUGAGGCGCGAAAGCGUGGGGAGCAAACAGG